GGCGACGUCGCCAAGUGGUCUAAGGCAGCGGUUUGCAAAACCGCCAUCUCGUGGGUUCAAAUCCCACCGUCGCCUCCA
rnacentral:tRNA from 3 species